rnacentral:rRNA from 1 species
UACGGGGGGGGCAAGCGUUGCUCGGAAUCACUGGGCGUAAAGCGCACGUAGGCGGCUUUCUAAGUCAGGGGUGAAAUCCUGGAGCUCAACUCCAGAACUGCCUUUGAUACUGGGAAGCUCGAGUCCGGAAGAGGUGAGUGGAACUCCGAGUGUAGAGGUGAAAUUCGUAGAUAUUCGGAAGAACACCAGUGGCGAAGGCGGCUCACUGGUCCGGUACUGACGCUGAGGUGCGAAAGCGUGGGGAGCAAACAGG